CGGGAUUACGAAAAAGAGACUGAAAAAAAAAGCGGUGAAAUUCCCCCCAAAUCCAAACGCAUCGGGCGCUCUCUCACAAAACACACAUCCGAUGCAAUUCUUACAAAAUCCUCUCACUACUCACCCUCAAUCUGCAGUAUGUUUCUAGCUACUGAUUUCUAUUUUUUUUCAAUCAUCUGUUCUCUUAUUCUUUUCCAAAAUAGGUCGUUGUCCUUCGGAAGACACUAUGUUCGCUGCAAGUUGCAUCAGAGAAAUUCAUCGAUUCAUCAUUACUCUUCCUACAGGAACCUCCAAAUUAGAGUAAAUUAAUCUUCGCUAUGCAGAGUCAACAAGUGUGCGGUGGGUGUAGGACUAUUCUUCUCUAUCCAAGAGGAGCAGCAAAUGUUUAUUGUGCAGUUUGCAAUGUAGUUACUACGGUACCACCACCUGAUUACAUAUCAGUGUUUUACUGGAAGAAGAGAACACGAAAAUCAGCUAACUCGGAAUAGAAAGUUUUUGACAGUUGUUCAUGUUGUGAUCAUGUUCCUGAGAUGUUGCUGUGAUAGAAGUCACUGAUGAACCUACAUAUAAUGGACCAAAUGCUAAUGAAUUGACAAGAAACAACAUAAACUCCAUGGUCCUGUGCAGCAUCUGAGAUGUGAUGGCAGUGACAGCCGAACUUUAACAGACACUUGAGAAUAUGCAUGCCCUUAACAAGAUGUUUAGUCUGGAAGCUGAAAUAUCUGUUUUGGAGCAAAAGGUACGAGCUAAGGUGGAGCAGAACCAGAAGAAAGCACCCUUACAUUUAUUUAGUUUAUUAUAACGACACUGAUCAUCAUGUUUUGGAGUCUGAAUAAGAGAGAAAGUUUCUCAUCUUGCUGUCACUAUUUGAGCUGUUGUGAAUCUUCAUCCGGAUAUAUACAAAUAUUUUUUAGGAUGUUAUUUAAUGAAAUUAUGAUAUAGCGGAUUGAUUCA